rnacentral:misc_RNA from 1 species
GUGAAUCAUCGAAUCUUUGAACGCAAAUUGCACUCUCUGGCAUUCCGGAGAGUAUGCCUGGUUGAGGUUCAGUAUAAUCAAAAUCGGGGCGGUGCUUUUUGGGUGACGCACCGGGGUUUGGGUCAUCUUAACUCUUUUUUUGAAGAUACCUAAAAUUAACAUUCUUUUUUGCUCACUUUGAACCGUACAUAAUUUUUUUUUAUUCGUCUACCCUGGGGGCUAAAAUUUUAUUAGAUCGUGAGUCAUGUAUAGGUGUCUCGCGUCUAUAAUUAUCUUUAUUGGA